rnacentral:rRNA from 1 species
UAAUACGAAGGGGGCUAGCGUUGUUCGGAAUUACUGGGCGUAAAGCGUGCGCAGGCGGCCAUCCAAGUCAGUGGUGAAAGCCCGGAGCUCAACUCCGGAAUUGCCAUUGAAACUGUUUGGCUCGAGUACGAGAGAGGUGAGUGGAAUUCCCAGUGUAGAGGUGAAAUUCGUAGAUAUUGGGAAGAACACCGGUGGCGAAGGCGGCUCACUGGCUCGUAACUGACGCUCAUGCACGACAGCGUGGGGAUCAAACAGGAUUAGAUACCCUGGUAGUCCACGCCGUAAACGAUGAACGCUAGCCGUUGGCCAGCUUGCUGGUCAGUGGCGCAGCUAACGCAUUAAGCGUUCCGCCUGGGGAGUACGGCCGCAAGGUUG